UACGUAGGGUCCGAGCGUUGUCCGGAAUUAUUGGGCGUAAAGGGCUCGUAGGCGGUUUGUCGCGUCGGGAGUGAAAACUCAGGGCUCAACCCUGAGCGUGCUUCCGAUACGGGCAGACUAGAGGUAUGCAGGGGAGAACGGAAUUCCUGGUGUAGCGGUGGAAUGCGCAGAUAUCAGGAGGAACAUCGGUGGCGAAGGCGGUUCUCUGGGCAUUACCUGACGUGAGGACGAA
rnacentral:rRNA from 1 species